CAAAGAUUUGAACCUGAAAGCAUUAAAUUGACUAUGUUUUGAAACGAUGGAGAAAGAAAAGCACAAAAUUCAAAAAUGGCGUUACUGCGAUGGCAGCAACAAUGGCCACACUGCUUUCUGGUUAAUUGACUUCUGAAGCAAUGGUUUUACAGCUCUGCAAGCAUUAUCUCUUCUUGGAAUUAGUAAGCGAUACCCAACGCCCAGCAUGGAGGUCUCAAACCCAUUAAGCAUUCGUAGGAGACAAGGGAGGGAGCUUGAUAGGCAAAGGUGAGUCCGACGCUCAUUGUUUCCCAGGAUAAUUCAGUAACAAAC